rnacentral:tRNA from 1 species
UCAAGGAUGUCAGAAUUUUAUGAGUUUGCUUUAGGUGUAAAUUAUGGGGUGAAUCCUCUCCUUGAU